GGUUGUGCUCCAAUGUCUCCAUGAAAUAACAGGAGCCCAGACUGGCAGGCCCAGGGGAAUAGUCAGUCAAGGAGAAAAAGGCCAAGUCAUUACCAGAACACUAUCAUCAGAGCUGUAAACACAAGCAUUCCUUCCUUCCUGAGUUUUAGCUGAAAGUCUGUCCCAUUCUGCUCACUAUCUCCUCAUACAGGUUCCGUUUGUCAAAUGUGUGUGACCAAUCCGAUAAGUCACCAUAGGCGGGAAGGGAGAAAGAGAAAGAAAGAAAAUUACAACCGUAAAUAGACUCUGAACAUAGAAAGAUCAAAAUAGACAGCCUCUGGCUUUACUGGAUGAGUCACCGCAGCAGCCCAGACCUCAAACACAAGCGUGGCUUCUCUCCUUAGCAGUCUUCCUGUCUGGAAAGGAAACGCCGCUCUGAUUGGAGGUAUUGGCCAUUUUACAGACUUCAAAGCAACUUAGGCAACUGAACAGACGAGGGGGAACAGCCAGGGACCAUUGAAACUGCCACAGAAGACUUGAAAGGCCACAUUGCCAAGACUUCUGGAGAGAAAAUUCAAGGCUUCUGGCUCUUGACAGAUAUAGGAGAGAAGACUGACAUGAAUUAGGUAAUCACAGAAAUAACUAUAAAAUUGCAUCUGGGAGAAGUGUUGUGAAGGAGAGAUGUGAAGUUCUAUGAAAGUAUAUAUUAGAAAGAAGAGAAGUAGUCAUGGAGGUCUGGGAAAACUUUCCAGAGUAAGGAGUAAUUGAGCUCAGCACUAUAGGAAUUAAUUAAGUAAAGAAGAUCAAGAAGAACAUGACCGGCGGAGGCAAGACCACGUGCAAAGUCCCUUCAGCAGGAGUGGGCAUCGUGAGUCCAAGAAACUGAAAGAAGAUUAAAGAGAAGGGAGUACAGAGGCCUGAAAUGUCGUUGAAGAAAUAGGAUAGACUGCUGGAACAAUGAGAAGGAGAGGAUUUUGCUGGUCACAGACAGGACUCUCUUGAUCUGCAAAUACGACUUCAUCAUGCUCAUCUGUGUGCAGUUGCAAUGGAUUCCCCUGAGUGCUGUCUAUCGCAUCUGCCUGGGAGACAAGGAGAAGGCCUUAGGAUCUACUGGGGAAGUCCAGAGCAGCAGUCACUAUUAUCCCGUUGGAACCCGUGGUCCACUGAGGUGCCUUAUGCUACCUUCACUGAGCACCCUGUGAAAUACACCAGUGAGAAGUUUCUCGAAAUCUGCAAGUCGCCUGGGUUCAUGUCUAAGCUUGUUCCAGCUAUCCAGAAUGCCCACAGGAAUUCCACUGGAUCUGGAAGAGGAAAGGGAUUGAUGGUGUUAACUGAACCCAUUUUGAUUGAGACCUACACAGGCUGGACUGUUCCCGAAUGACCUUCGAAAGGACACAAUGCAGCAUCAUCAAUGGAGCAAAUCAGAAAAGAUGAGAGGAGGAAAAUAUCUCUUAGCCCUGAGGUCAGUCUGUACCAAUAGGUUACCAAGACUGUUUAGUGUGGAGAAGAAUGAUGUCAGAGAUGACAUGAGAAUUGUCUUCACAUUUCACACAGAUUGUCCUGUGGGAUAUUCCAGAAACUGAUCAAUGGGAUCUAGAAAUCAGGAUUAUGACCAGAGGAUGAGAGGAUUCAGGGAUUUGGAUGGCAGUUUAAGACAAGAAAGAACUUCUUAUAGUUAAAAAUGUCCAAAGAUGGGAAGCUUUCCUCCUUGAAAGAGUCUCCCAUCACUUGAUGUGUACUAGUAGGGACUAGAUAAAGUGGAUAUUGUGAAAGGGAUUGUUAAAGGGAUGCUUGAUAAAAUCAUUUAAAACCAGAGACCUUAUGAUUCUCCAAAUAAUUGUUGUCGAUGAUUAGGUAAUACAACCUUUUUUUUGGAAAGAGUUGAAUCAAUCAUGUGAGACCUUGGAAAAUUACCUGAACUUUCCUAAGGUUUAAUUUCCUCAUCUGUAAAAUGGAGACAAUGCUAUCUCUUUUGUCUACUUCAUAAAGACCUUGUGAGGAUUCAAUAAAAUGAGGUUAAAUUAUUUUAUUAAAUAAAAAUCAUUGAGUAUCUGCCUGUAGUGCAAUGUCACUUUGGCAGCAGAAACUGGGACACCAUCCAAGGGAACUAAAUUUAGUUCUUCUGGGAAUUGUUUUUUGGUCACCAUGGACCUGCCGACCAUCUCUUUCCCAUUUGACACAUGGUAUUCUCACGAGGGUUCCUUGUCCAUAAGCUUGACAAGUAACCACAACCCACAAACCAGGAGACCUAUAUGUAUACCUGGGCUUUUCCUUCAGGCUACCAUCUGAACUAUACCAAUAACAUUUCUCAAAGGGCCAUCCUAGGUCUGAUUGGGAAUAAGAUUUGAUACAAGAGGCAUUAAGUACAAAGCAUAUCAUCAUAAAAAUGUCAUGGUUGGCCAUUUUCUCUCUCUGAUCUUUGUCCAUUCAAGAAAUCCCACUAGAGGGGCUUCCCUGGUGGCGCAGUGGUUGCGCGUCCGCCUGCCGAUGCAGGGGAAUCGGGUUCGCGCCCCCGUCUGGGAGGAUCCCACAUGCCUCGGAGCGGCUGGGCCCGUGAGCCAUGGCCGCUGAGCCUGCGCGUCCGGAGCCUGUGCCCCGCAAAGGGAGAGGUCACAACAGAGGAAGGCCCGCAUACCACAAAAAAAAAAAAAAAAAAAAAAAGAAAGAAAUCCCACUAGAAAAUCUCCAAUAAAUCUCUGUUCAGAAACUAUUUGAACAAUUCUAUUGACAGAUUGCUCAUAAUCUUCUGAUACAUCUUGGGCAGCUCUGAUGGUUAGAAAGUUCUCCUGUUGAUUUAGAUUCUGGAACAUCCAUCUGCCAUCUCUUUGAUUUAAAAAUAAGAUUCCCAUGCUGGAGUAGGUUCAGCUUGUGUUUCAGUACCUGGAUGUGGGGCAUUGGGGUUACAGAACCAAGGUUGAUGGAUUCUCUAACACUUAACAAGAAGGAGAGCUGCCAUGAAUCACCACGCCUGGCCUCCCAGUGGGCAGUCGGGUCUUCUUGGAGGCUGACAUUUGGCCAGCCUCUAAGGCAGAAAAGAGAAGCCAAUUUAUGAGGAUCUUUUGCCUUGCGUCCCCUUCUCAUUGUCCCAUUGCUGAAGCAUUACUAAGGAAGCCAAUUCAUAGAGCCCUGGGGCUAAGGAAGAAAAGAACCCAUCGAAUCUAAUGCUUUCAUUUCACAGAACACAGAGCAAAGGCCUAGAAACUGGAAAGAAGUCUCUCAAAAAGCAGAUGGCGAAUUUUUGGUAUGAGGAUUAAACUCUAAAGCUUCCAAUCUCCAAUUCCAUCUCCACUGCUCUUUCCAUAUACCUCCAUUCCCAGGAAAAGACACGUCAUCUAAAUCAGCGUAUCAGAGUUUCUGUGUUCAUUCUGACGUGAGAAAACAAUAGGUCACCGUUGUUUAGGGGGAAUUUCCAGAAAUUACCUGUAUUUUCUUAAAGGCUAAGGUCACUCAUGGAGCUCUCUGAUAUCCUAUCUGAUUUAAAAGCCCAAACAAAGCUGCGGAAGCCAGCAGAUAUUUUGUAAGGCAGCUUUACCUCUGCCUGGCAUUUUGUGGGGCAAAAGAGGGGAGGGCAAAAGUAUUAAAUUCAGGCUUAAAAGCUCCUCAGAAAUUCUUUACACACAGGAGACCAAGUUGGAGAAAAGAAGAUGACUCCUGCCAAGGGGAAGAAAGAGAGAGAUGAAUGCCUGUGGUUUUCAAAGGUUAACAACAGCAACAAAGCCCAAGUAUUUGCACAGGGAUGAAUGUUCAUUGGCUUUUGGCCAACAACUGUACGAGGGCUUGUGCCCACAUCCUGUAGCUGUGGUUUAGGGACGCUGCUCAUGAGUGACUUCUUAUGCUUAGUGGCAGGAAACUUUAGUCACUGAUGUGUAAACUCACCUUUGGUCUGCACCUCCCACAAUGUGCUCUGAAGGCAGUUCGGGGACCAGGCCUCCUGAUUUUCUUACAGAUACCAGUUCCUCAGGGACUAAGGAAGAACCCAUUUUAAGGCCUUGGGAGGGACUGAGACUUGAUCAGUACUUACCUUACUCCACUCAGUUGUAGCAACCCCUUAGGAUAAUUCUAUAGCCACAGGGAGGAAUUAUGAUAUCCUCUGCGAAAUCCUCCCUUUAACCUCAAAA